rnacentral:lncRNA from 1 species
AUGUCAUCAACGGCAGAUCAGGGUUUGGUUAAAUCUGAUGAAGAUGAGACAGUGUUAAGCGAUGAUGAAGCAUCUGAGGAUGAAAUAGAAAACCAGAAGAGGCCUUUAACCAAAGAGGAAGUAAUUGACAGUGCAGAAGAGAAUACGAAAGAAAGCAAAAGUGAGGCUACUAGUCAAGUUAAGAGUGGUGUGGAAAAGCAGUCAGUUCAAGAAGAUGACAGUAUGAGGAGCAAUGAAAUGAGUAAUAACGAAGAACAUGAGGUAGUAAGAGACCUAAGCGGAAGUGAUUUUUGUGUGGAGAAUGAAGUGACGAAUCAACACACACCACUUGCUGCUGGAGAGGACUCGUUUAAAGGUGGAUGUCACAUUCAAAAAAAUACGGAAGGAAUAGAAAAUCCUCAGGAUUUUGACAGUCCUGAAUCCUUAGAUCCCAAAGCAGUCGAGUGCCCUCACACCAAUUACUUUGAGCUCCAGUCUAAUGAGGAUAUCUCCAAAAUUUUGGGGAAAAAUGAGGAUGCAGGAAUGGUGAGCUCAUCUCUCGUUGAAUCAAAUGAAAGUUUGAGAUCUAAGAUUGAUGAGCUUGAGGUGGAUGAGGACAAGCUGAUCGUAGAACAACUGUCAGAUGCAUUGCUGGAUGAGUCUGAAACCUCACAACCUGCGAUUGCAGAUGUGAGCCCGAACACCCUGAUGCCAAAGUCUGCAGUUAGUGCAGAGAAUGCUUUGUACAACAUUAUGGAAGAGCCAGGAGAGGUCGAGGAGAAAUGUCUUGUUGAAGCAUCAGUACCAAUCGGCAAGGAGCCAUUUUUACAAGCAAUUGACCAGAAUCUGCUACCCAAUCUACCCUCUAAUAAAACUUUCGACAAGAAUCUUACAACUGACGAUGCAAGCACACAACUGAUUUAUGAACACUCGGAGUCGAAUCCCAUAAUCUCAGAAAAAUUUGUCAACGAUGACUUCUCAGUGAAGGUGACUGAAUCUUUAAGCUCAUCUUUCGAUAAAAAAGAAUUCGAAGCUGCAGGGUGA